rnacentral:rRNA from 1 species
AGUCACUGACAUUAGAUACCCGUGUAGUCCAGGGUGUAAACGCUGCAGACUUGGUGUUGGAGGCCCUUUGGGGGCAUUCAGUGCCGGAGAGAAGUUGUUAAGUCUGCUACUUGGGGAGUACGUCCGCAAGGAUGAAACUUAAAGAAUUGGCGGGGGAGCACCGCAACGGGAGGAGCGUGCGGUUUAAUUGGAUUCAACACCGUAAACUCACCAGGGAAGACUGUUACAUGAAGGCCGAGAUGAAGACUCUGCUAGAUUUUCAG